GAUGAACGCUGGCGGCGUGCUUAACACAUGCAAGUCGAACGAGAAAUGUAGACGGAAACCUUCGGGCGGAAGCCUUCAUUUCGAGUGGCGGACGGGUGAGUAACGCGUGGGUAACCUGCCUCAUACAGGGGGAUAACAGUUGGAAACGACUGUUAAUACCGCAUAAGACCACAGCAUCGCAUGAUGCGGGGGUAAAAACUCCGGUGGUAUGAGAUGGACCCGCGUUCGAUUAGCCAGUUGGCGGGGUAACGGCCCACCAAAGCGACGAUCGAUAGCCGAUCUGAGAGGAUGACCGGCCACAUUGGGACUGAGACACGGCCCAAACUCCUACGGGAGGCAGCAGUGGGGAAUAUUGCACAAUGGGGGAAACCCUGAUGCAGCGACGCCGCGUGAGUGAAGAAGUACUUCGGUAUGUAAAGCUCUAUCAGCAGGGAAGAAAAUGACGGUACCUGAGGAAGAAGCCCCGGCUAACUUCGUG
rnacentral:rRNA from 1 species